ensembl:piRNA 21ur-3906 ncRNA
AUUCCGUUUGUUCAUAAAUGU